GGGGGCGACCUGGCUUCGACGGGAGUCGCGAACCUUCAGGUGCAUGCCGAGGUGCAGUUCACCUCGCUAAACUAACUGCAAAACUCAUAGUUGCCAACGACGACAACUACGCACUAGCUGCUUAAAAACCAGCUUUAGUGCCCUCUGACUGAGUCUGUGCUUGUGCACUCAGACCCAGGGGUCAUACUCACAAGAUCGCGAGGGCG
rnacentral:tmRNA from 1 species